AGUCAUAUCACAUUGAAACACAGGUUCUCACACGAUCAUGAAAGUUCAGCAACAUCAAGCCUGGUUAGUACUUAGAUGGGUGACCACUUGGGAAUACCAAGUGCUGUAAG